AUUGGGAGGAACUGGAUACUUUACCGUGCAAGUACAACGGCAGCGCGGACUUCGGUCUGGCGGCGAGUGGCGAACGGGUGAGUAAUAUAUCGGAACGUACCCAGUAGCGGGGGAUAACUACUCGAAAGAGUAGCUAAUACCGCAUACGCCCUACGGGGGAAAGGGGGGGAUCGCAAGACCUCUCACUAUUGGAGCGGCCGAUAUCGGAUUAGCUAGUUGGUGGGGUAAAGGCCUACCAAGGCGACGAUCCGUAGCUGGUUUGAGAGGACGACCAGCCACACUGGGACUGAGACACGGCCCAGACUCCUACGGGAGGCAGCAGUGGGGAAUUUUGGACAAUGGGGGAAACCCUGAUCCAGCCAUCCCGCGUGUGCGAUGAAGGCCUUCGGGUUGUAAAGCACUUUUGGCAGGAAAGAAAUCGCACGGGUUAAUACCUUGUGUGGAUGACGGUACCUGCAGAAUAAGC
rnacentral:rRNA from 1 species